rnacentral:rRNA from 1 species
GAUGAACGCUGGCGGCGUGCUUAACACAUGCAAGUCGAACGGAAAGGCUCCUGCUUGCAGGGGUACUCGAGUGGCGAACGGGUGAGUAACACGUGGGUGAUCUGCCCUGCACUUCGGGAUAAGCCUGGGAAACUGGGUCUAAUACCGGAUAGGACGAUGGUUUGGAUGCCAUUGUGGAAAGUUUUUCGGUGUGGGAUGAGCUCGCGGCCUAUCAGCUUGUUGGUGGGGUAAUGGCCUACCAAGGCGUCGACGGGUAGCCGGCCUGAGAGGGUGUACGGCCACAUUGGGACUGAGAUACGGCCCGGACUCCUACGGGAGGCAGCAGUGGGGAAUAUUGCACAAUGGGCGCAAGCCUGAUGCAGCGACGCCGCGUGGGGGAUGACGGCCUUCGGGUUGUAAACUCCUUUCGCUAGGGACGAAGCGUUUUGUGACGGUACCUGGAGAAGAAGCACCGGCUAACUACGUG